rnacentral:rRNA from 1 species
CCCUUAGAUGUUCUGGGCGGCCCGCGCACUACAUUGGCACUAGCAAAGAUAUCCUAGAUUGAAUUCUUUGGGGUAUUCUUCUAAAUGGUGUCGUGACUGGGAUAAAUCCUUGUAAUUAUUGGUUUUGAACGAGGAAUUCCUUGUAAUCGCGGUUUAUCAGCUCGCGUUGAAUGCGUCCCUGCCCUUUGUACACACCGCCCGUCGCUCCUACCGAUGGAUCGUCCGGUGAAGCUCACGGAGUGACUGUUCACGCAACGGUUUACGAAGUGAAAUGGACCUCACGAUUUAGAGGAAGGAGAAGUCGUAACA